rnacentral:rRNA from 1 species
GACGUAGGGCGCGAGCGUUGUCCGGAUUUAUUGGGCGUAAAGGGCGCGUAGGCGGCCUGUUAAGUCGAACGUGAAAUCCCCGGGCUCAACCCGGGAACUGCGUCCGAUACUGGCAGGCUUGAAUCCGGGAGAGGGAUGCGGAAUUCCAGGUGUAGCGGUGAAAUGCGUAGAUAUCUGGAGGAACACCGGUGGCGAAGGCGGCAUCCUGGACCGGCAUUGACGCUGAGGCGCGAAAGCCAGGGGAGCAAACGGG